GCUGUUCACAUCAAGCUGAUAUUUGUGACAGCCAUUAUAGCUUUAAUCAUUUUCUCGAUUGAUCAAAGCACCACAGGCUGCAUCGUUCGUCACCUCUGCCUUUAAGCGCGUUAUCACCCACUCCAAUAAGCCACCCCAAUAUCCUUAAUACGCAAUAGAAGUUCUUAUCGACUGUGUAUGACUCAUUAAUAUCCAUGUUUUGUAUAAAUUUAUGUGAUAGGCUUACUGGUAUUAAUGUUGAUGUACCGUAAUGUUUUUUGCUCAUGUAUAAUUGAUAAUAAUACAUUAAAAAUAAAUAUAAUGUUAAAUUAUUA